UGUCCGGCGAGGCGGGGUCGUUGGCGAUCACGUCACCGUUGGCGGUGAAGCCGAUGAUGACCAUGAGGUGGCCGUUGGUGCUGUAUCCGGCGCCGGGCAG
rnacentral:tRNA from 1 species